AGUGAUGGCAUGCGAAUCUCGAAAGCCUAUCUCAGUUCGGAUUGAGGCUGAAACCCGCCUCCAUGAAGUUGGAUUCGCUAGUAAUCGCGCAUCAGCCAUGGCGCGGUGAAUACGUUCCCGGGCCUUGUACACACCGCCCGUCAAGCCAUGGGAGCCGGGGGUGCCUGAAGUUCGUUACCGCAAGGAUCGACCUAGGGCAAAACUGGUGACUGGGGCUAAGUCGUAACAAGGUAGC
rnacentral:rRNA from 1 species